rnacentral:lncRNA from 1 species
UUUUUGCCACUAUCAUACAAGAUGUCUAAUAACACACAACCUUGUGUUAUCAUAAGACAUGGUUCUGCACAUCCACUUGCUAAGUAUAUCUACGAGCACUACCUAUAUGGUCUUGGAGUAUAUUUGAAAUAUAAUUUUCACUUGGAGACAACAGAGAUAAUUAUAUGUCAAGAGAAGACUCACCAUUUGAAAGAAGAUGAUAGUAAUCUUCUUGUUUUUCUUUGGG